AAACCAACCGAAAGUCAUACCAAUUCAGAAGACGUGACAGUAACCCAUUUUCAACAUUUGAAAGACGACGCCCCGACCAUUCUUUCACAAAUUCAGCUAAAAAUGUCAUCAUCUUAGAGGACUUUUCUGAUACUCUUCUCUAAUUUUAGAAAAGUUAACAUUUUUUACCAGUACUCACAAGAAAAGUACAAUAAUUUGUAAAACAUAAACGCAUUUCCAAACGUUAGUUAGGGAAACAUUGACGUACGGUAUGUAUUAAUAAAGUUUUAAUUCAUCUACUGAAGUGAAAUAACGGACGGUUAGUUGUGAAUUGGUUAUUUAAUCUGAAGACAUAAGCAGUCUUUAGGAUGUUGAAACCUAACUAUGUCAGACUUUAUGGCAUUUAAUUAACAUUUAUAGUACUGCAUUUUGUAGAAACAUUCCCUAACAGACUAAGUACGUUUAUUUUAAACAGUGUCAUUUAGAAAGUACUUUGUGUCUCAGAUAUAGGGAGCAUCUUGGAAUAAUUUUGGUAGAAAAACAACAACAACAUAAUAUACGUAGCUAAAAUAAUCAAUCAAUUAUAUUUUUAGGUAAUACAGUUUACAUAAACAAAGAGCACCGGACAAACAAUAAGGGUCUUACAGAUCGUCCUUGCUGUAGUAGUCGUUAUUGACCUUUCAGCUGUCUCUGCUAAUGAGAAUCUACAAGUCGAAGUGACAAAAGGUGAAGAGGGCGAGGAUAUUGUAACGAUAAAAGACGAAAAUGGAGAAGUCUUGUCUACAAAUGACUUUCAUCUCGAGACCGGCUAUGAGCUUCAGAAGCCAAAUGACGAAAAAGACAACGUUUGCCUGAUCUCACGAAUUUUAGAAAAUGAAGAUGAACAGACAUGUUAUAACCGUGAAACUGUCCCUGAAGAUUUAGAGCAUGGUUUGGAUCUUGAGGAAUGUGAAAAUCGAGAGAUUUUUCUGUUAGUACCAGCGGACUGCCCUGAUGAUAAAAGCGUCCGUGGUUAUUGCAGAUGGGUAACUCAACUAGAGUGCUACUGUGCAGAAAAAACCUGUUUGAGAAAAGGAUGGUGGGGUUGGGGUUGCAAAAGUUGGGGUUGCAAAAGAUACGCAUACCGCACUGUGAAAACAUAUAAAUGCUAAUAAAAAAUGAAAGUGGACACAUUUCUUGUUAAACUAAAAUCUACUUUUAAAUACACUUUUCUGUACUUAAUUUACAAUAAUUGAUUUUAUUAAUUUUCCAGUUUUCCAGAAAAUUAAUAAACUUCAAAUAUCUUGGCAUACGGUACAAAAAAUAAAUAUCACGAACUGAAGCAUUAAAUGAUGUAUUAUUAUAAUAUCAUUACAGAAAACUAAGAAAAUGAAUGUCAUGGAAUAUUGUUCGAAAAAUAAGUAUCACGUAACGAAGCAUGAAAUGAUAGUUUAUAGCUAAAAUGCAUAGAAACAAUAUAGACAAUGCUAUGAUGCUGAAACUUUCAUGACUGUCACAUAUGAUAGACAAUUCAAGGAGACUGCAAGUGCUACGCACGUCCAGCUACAGGAAAUCCGAGGUUAAAUCUGUAUAUCCCUAUACUAAUAGCUCACCCUGAAAAAGCAACCAAUGUCCAUACUUCCCAUAUUAAUUUUUGUGCAGGACUAAUUUUAGUGGAUUUGUGGUUGAUUAAAAGCACAAAACUUAAUUCA